rnacentral:lncRNA from 1 species
GAACUUGAAUGGUACUCAGUUGGAGAGAACUGCCCUGCAGAGAUCAGUCCCGGGCCUGCAGAUGCUGAAGCAGAAAUGUUCAGAAGGAACCUACCUAAUUAUGUUAGAGUAUGUAAAAGUAACCUCGCGUGGAGAGAGGGAAACCAUACGGAACCAAGAGUACCCACUGGGAGUGGGAAACCAGGAAGAAUCGAGUCACCACGGCCUUGUCUGGGUCGAAAAGCAAGCUUCUGGAAGAAGGAGCCAUGUGAUCGCCUACUCCAGAGGUUUCUUUACCCAUCCAGAUCACGGCAAAGUUCUGGCAAUCACUGGCAAUCACUUCACAAAAGUAAGUUGGAGUCAGCAGUUCCUGUCAUGGCAGAGCUUUCGUCUACACACGUGCAUUCUUCUCAGUCCGGGGGUAAACAUCAAAGCUCCAGCUGCAGUGUUCACAAAGGAACGUUUUCAUCCCAAAUAAUCUAUGGCAACUAA